GCAGAACUGACACCUUGCUAGACAGAAAGGCAUGUAAGGUGCUUCCUUGGCUGUGACUUCAUAGAACCAUAGAACGGCUUGGGUUGGAAGGGACCCCAGAGACCAUCAAAUUCCAGCCCCUCUGGCACAGGCAGAGCCACCAACCUCCAGAUCUGCUACUAGGCCAGGUUCCUUCUGCUUGAUAUUCAGUGCAGUACCUCCCUACAGACUAGAUGGGACCAGGAGAGCCAGUUGGCUUUCAAGCCCCUGCUAGCUCCAGAAUGAUCCACCUCAGUGUGCUGGAAAUCAAGCAAAGAAAGCAGGGGGCUGUACAAAAUGAGGAGCUCCUUAAAAACUUUAAAACAAAAAGGAUGCAAACAAAAGGCAAAGGCAAGUGACCUGGGAGGAAUAAAGAGAUAUUGCCCAAGUGUGCAGGGGCAGAGCUAGGAAAGCCAAUAGCCACCUGCAUUUGAAUCUGGCAAGAGGCACAACAACAAAAA